GUUCUGGCUUCAGCAGCACAUAUAUUAAAAUUGUAAAGAUAAAGAAAUUAGCAUGGCCCACGAACAAGGUUGAUUCAAAUUUGUGGAAUUCCCUAAUUUUUU